UUUCCGUAGGUGAACCUGCGGAAGGAUCAUUCAUAAUAAGUGUUUUAUGGCACUUUUUUAAAUCCAUAUCCACCUCGCGUGCAAUGUCAGGGUUGAUUUUUCUCUCGAGAGGAUCAACCCCAAACAUCAACUAUAUCUCAACUCUUUGUCUGAAAAAUAUUAUGAAUAAAACAAUUCAAAAUACAACUUUCAACAACGGAUCUCUUGGCUCUC
rnacentral:misc_RNA from 1 species